UGAAACUUAAAGGAAUUGACGGAAGGGCACCACCAGGAGUGGAGCCUGCGGCUUAAUUUGACUCAACACGGGGAAUCUCACCCGGCCCGGACACCGUGAGGAUUGACAGAUUGAGAGCUCUUUCUUGAUUCGGUGGAUGGUGGUGCAUGGCCGUUCUUAGUUGGUGGAGCGAUUUGUCUGGUUAAUUCCGAUAACGAACGAGACUCUAGCCUAUUAAAUAGUUCGCCGCCUCGCCAAUGGGUAGCGGUGCCAACUUCUUAGAGGGACUAGCGGCGCUCAGCCGCACGAGAAGGAGCAAUAACAGGUCUGUGAUGCCCUUAGAUGUUCGGGGCCGCACGCGCGCUACACUGAUAGAGACAGAGGGUCGAGUACCUGUCGGACACGGCCGGUCAACCCGUGCAGAACCUCUAUCGUGCUAGGGAUUGGGGCUUGAAAUUCUUCCCCAUGAACGAGGAAUUCCCAGUAAGCGCAAGUCAUCAGCUUGUGUUGAUUACGUCCCUGCCCUUUGUACACACCGCCCGUCGCUACUACCGAUUGAAUGGUUUAGUGAGGCCCUCGGACGUUCCCCGGGCUGGGCUUCGGCCCGGUCGUCAGGCGCGUGGCGAAAGAUGGUCGAACUUGAUCAUUUAGAGGAAGUAAAAGUCGUAACAAGGUUUCCGUAG
rnacentral:rRNA from 1 species